AAUUGGGUGCCCUUGAAUAUUCUCAUCUUCAAAUCUUGCCAUUGGCAAGGAGGGAUUUUUUUAUAUUUCAUCUACUUAUAGCAAAAGUUCGAAGAUUGAAGUGGUGGAGCACUAUAAGCCAUGAUAAAUUUAUUAAGUUAUGCAUGCAAUUUGCAUGCAUACUUCUUCAUUAAUGAAAACGCAUAUAUGCUAAAAGUUCAAGAUAUUGUUUUUGUUUUUUGGUUACAUUAGAGGGAAAAAACUUCAAUAGAGUUUGAUUUUGGGUGCCAUAGGGGAGGAGGAAUCCACCACUAUUGUAGUGGGAACCUAUUGGCCAAGAUAUUAUUUUUAAUUCACAUGAAAGUAGCCAGCACCAUAUACAUACAUGUAUUGAUUCUAAAAGUCUCCAUAUAUUUUAGGUGAAUUUACCGACAACAAAUAUUAUAUCGUCAUCGUCAUUCAUGUAAGUUAAAUACGAGAUCUCUUCUGAAUCAAGUAAAAACAAAUACCAUUAUGUCAAAGACAAAUUGAUCUACUCGGUUGUUAAUUAAAUAAGUGAAAAUAUUCAAUAGCAGCUAACUUAGAGCCGACAUGAAAAAUGUAGACGUAGAAAUUAAUUAAUAGUGCAUGCAAAAUUCAUGCAAUGUAUAUAUUCGUUUUGGGUUUAUAAUUCUUUGCCUUGAGCCCAAGAAAGGGAUUGGUGGCACAAAGACGUGUUAUCUCAUUCUUCAACUCGGAGAAAAAAGUUUUACGCGUAGGGUCCCAUCCUAACCGAAAGUUUCAAUGUUUCAAGAUAUGGUUAGGGACAGGUGGUAGUUAUUUCCCUUUACCUGUCAACUGCCAAGUAGCUUGGGAUACUUCCAUGAAAAUACAUGUCUUGGAAUCCAAUGAAAAGAUUUCGGGCAUCAAUGGUUAUUAACGUAGAACUUUUUUUUUUUUUUUUUUUAAGGAACUUUGAAUUCAAAUUAAGGUUUACUGGUUUGACCAAGUUCUCAUUAGUUCUCAUAUUCAAUCUAAUCACUCUGUCUAAUUUGAUUUGUAUAAGCCAGCAAUGUCGACCUAAUUAAUUUCAAAAUCAGAUGUUGACACUUUUAACUUAUAGUAACACUUGCCUUUACUUGAAAUGUAAACACGGUCUUAUUCAUAACAUUAAUUAUGGGAUGUUUUAAUUCUCUUAUGGUAUUAAAUCAGCCGCAGUAUCUAC
rnacentral:lncRNA from 1 species